GUGUGUGUAAUUUAAAAAAAAUGUCAAGCUGUGACCUUGAAAAUAGUUAUUCUCACACACC
rnacentral:tRNA from 1 species